rnacentral:tRNA from 1 species
GGGAAGAUGGCUCAGUGGUAGUGCGCUUGCCUUGCAUGCAUGAGGCCCUGGGUUCAAUUCCUCAGCACCCCA